CAGUAGCCACGGUAAUACGAAGGGGGCUAGCGUUGCUCGGAAUGACUGGGCGUAAAGGGUGCGUAGGCGGUUUGGCAAGUCUUGUGUGAAAUCUUCGGGCUCAACCCGAAGCCUGCACGAGAAACUACCGGGCUUGAGUAUUGGAGAGGUGAGUGGAAUUCCGAGUGUAGAGGUGAAAUUCGUAGAUAUUCGGAAGAACACCAGUGGCGAAGGCGGCUCACUGGCUCAUACUGGACGCUAAGGUGCGAAAGCGUGGGGAGCAAACAGGAUUAGAUACCCCAGUAGUCCCUGUCUCUUAUAA
rnacentral:rRNA from 1 species